UACGGAGGGUGCAAGCGUUUAUCCGGAUUCACUGGGUUUAAAGGGUGCGUAGGCGGGUUGGUAAGUCCGUGGUGAAAUCUCCGAGCUUAACUCGGAAACUGCCGUGGAUACUAUCAAUCUUGAAUAUCGUGGAGGUAAGCGGAAUAUGUCAUGUAGCGGUGAAAUGCUUAGAUAUGACAUAGAACACCAAUUGCGUAGGCAGCUUACUACACGAUGAUUGACGCUGAGGCACGAAAGCUAGGGGAGCAAACAGG
rnacentral:rRNA from 1 species